rnacentral:rRNA from 1 species
AACGUAGGUACCGAGCGUUAUCCGGAUUUACUGGGCGUAAAGCGCGUUCAGGCGGUUUGGCAAGUCGGGCAUGAAAUCUCUCGGCUCAACCGGGAGAGGUUGUCCGAUACUUCCAGACUUGAGGGCAGUAGAGGGUGGUGGAAUUCCGGGUGUAGUGGUGAAAUGCGUAGAUAUCCGGAGGAACACCAGUGGCGAAAGCGGCCACCUGGACUGCACCUGACGCUGACACGCGAAAGCGUGGGGAGCAAACAGG